UACGUAGGCAGCAAGCGUUGUUCGGAAUUACUGGGCGUAAAGAGUGUGUAGGCGGUGCUCCAAGUCUGUUGUGAAAUCUCCCGGCUUAACUGGGAGGGUGCGGCGGAAACUGGAGUGCUAGAGGGUGGGAGAGGAAAGCGGAAUCCUGGUGUAGCGGUGAAAUGCGUAGAUAUCAGGAGGAACACUGCGGUGUAGACAGCUUUCUGGACCACUUCUGACGCUGAGACACGAAAGCGUGGGUAGCAAACAGG
rnacentral:rRNA from 1 species